rnacentral:lncRNA from 1 species
AUUUCUAGUUGACCCACAACAAUUGUUUUGUCACCUUGUUUUUAACAAAAAAACUCACUUGUUUUAGUUGAAGGAUGAUUGUGGAUUUUUCAUCAAGAAGUUUGGACAAAAACAAAUCAAUUUUUAAUCAAAAACUCCUUGCAAAUUUAAGAACUAUAAUUCUACUCACAUUUUUCUUGAUUCAGGUAUGAUAUUUGUUUAAGUAUAUAUUUACAUACAUUAGUAAUGGGAUAAUUGUAGAGGAAAAUAAAGUUUUGUGAUUA